AGGUGGUCUGUAUCAAGAGGCAU
rnacentral:piRNA from 1 species